AUACGUAGGGGGCGCGCGUUGUCCGGAAUGAUUGGGCGUAAAGGGCGCGUAGGCGGCUUUGCAAGUCAGUAGUGGAAGUCCAUUUUUCAAGGAUGGAAGUGCUACAGAAACUGCGGAGCUUGAGUGCAGGAGAGGUUAUCGGAAUUCCCGGUGUAGCGGUGAAAUGCGUAGAGAUCGGGAGGAACACCAGUGGCGAAGGCGGGUAACUGGACUGCAACUGACGCUGAGGCGCGAAAGUGUGGGAAGCAAACAGGAUUAGAUACCCUGGUAGUCCACACUGUAAACGAUGAAUGCUAGGUGUAGGAGGUAUCGACCCCUUCUGUGCCGCAGUAAACACAGUAAGCAUUCCGCCUGGGGAGUACGGUCGCAAGAUUAAAACUCAAAGGAAUUGACGGGG
rnacentral:rRNA from 1 species